CGAAAAUUUGAACUCCCGAUUUCAACAUAACAAAAUAACAUCUGUCCUCGGGCCUAUACAGGCCCAGUAAGUCUAACGAUAAAUGAGCCUUAAUGGACUAGAUUUAAAACUUUAUAAAGGGGCCAAGGCGUUCACAAACCCAACAGUAGGUACAGAAGGCUCCUGGUAAUAACUGAAAAGCAACGCAACCACAUAGCAAAGACAAGUUACUUGAUCCAAGAGAGCUGUUUCCUUUGUGUGAUGUUGUUCGAUUUUGACCUCAGUGUUUAUGAAUUCCUGAGUAAGAUCUAGUCUUUAACUUCCCCACCUUGGAUACUGUAUUCACGAAUGAGCAUGUUUUUGUUCCUUGGGAGAUUCCAUAAUUGGUCUGAUGCAUAUAGACAUGUGUUUUUUUUUUUUGGUGUCAUAUGUGCGCUGUGAAUCUUGUGA